AAGAAAAAAAUGGUUGUGAGUUUAGAGGAAGUGGAAUAGGGUAGAUAGAUUAUUAUUUCUCUCUAAUUUGCUACCAUUAUAACACCUUUCAUCUAACCCGUUUAACAUUUAACAACGUUUGUUCCACUUUCUAAUUUUGUUUCAAAUCUAUACUUCUUCAGUUCUUUCUUAACAUAUUGCAUUAUGCUUUCUAUUGAAUCAUAAUGACAUCCGAGGCUAUUUUGCCUAAAUAUACCAAUUAGCAAUAGAGUUUCCACCCAACCCUCAUCCAUAUUAAAGCAAUACUCAUUAUGUUUUGAUGAAUGUAACGAGAAAGAAGCUUUUGUUGUGUGGGCCUGUCUGUGUAAAUGCAUAAUUGUUACGAAAACUGCAAGGUGUCUAAAACCUCUUUGAACAAGGAAUUUUUGGUGAUGAGUUGUUUUUUGGAGCAAACUAGGUAAAUGGCAAUGCUGGGAUGGUGUGAGUGAACCCUUGAAAGAUCUCGUUACGAUUAGUAACUUGUUGGCUGGUCAACACCUAUUUGAAUACUACUGUAGACUGUAGUUCUAAAACCAAUGAAAUGGCCAGGCUAGCAACAUCUCUUUCCAGACCGCAAAACGCAAACGCGUAAGUGCAGUUGCGACUCGAAUCGACUAGAGGGUGAUAAAGAAUCGAUUUAUUCUCAGAACAGACAAGAGCUUAUACAAGAUGGAUUUAAAAACAAACAGAUAUUUACAUCCGACCACAAACCAAAAUUAAAGAGCCUAACAUAAGUCGUCACCGUGAAGUCUCGAAUACAUGGCACUGCGAAUCUCUCUACCAGUCGCUUCUCCAUGUUCGAACCGUAAUACCCAAAUGUUCAGAAGACCUCAAGUAUGGUGAAGGCAAAGUAUGUUCUUGUUGGAAAUGGACG